rnacentral:rRNA from 1 species
GACGAAGGUGGCAACCGUUGUUCGGAAUCACUGGGCAUAAAGCGCACGUAGGCGGGACAUGCAAGUCGGGUGUGAAAUCCCUCGGCCCAACCGAGGAACUGCGCCCGAAACUGUUGUUCUUGAGGACAGAAGGGGAGCGUGGAAUUCCUGGUGGAGCGGUGAAAUGCGUUGAUAUCAGGAGGAACACCGGCGGCGAAGGCGACGCUCUGGUCUGUUUCUGACGCUAAGGUGCGAAAGCCAGGGGAGCAAACGGG